UGGGGAAUAUUGCACAAUGGGCGCAAGCCUGAUGCAGCCAUGCCGCGUGUGUGAAGAAGGCCUUCGGGUUGUAAAGCACUUUCAGCGAGGAGGAAGGUGGUGGACUUAAUACGUUCAUCAAUUGACGUUACUCGCAGAAGAAGCACCGGCUAACUCCGUGCCAGCAGCCGCGGUAAUACGGAGGGUGCAAGCGUUAAUCGGAAUUACUGGGCGUAAAGCGCACGCAGGCGGUUUGUUAAGUCAGAUGUGAAAUCCCCGGGCUCAACCUGGGAACUGCAUUUGAAACUGGCAAGCUAGAGUCUCGUAGAGGGGGGUAGAAUUCCAGGUGUAGCGGUGAAAUGCGUAGAGAUCUGGAGGAAUACCGGUGGCGAAGGCGGCCCCCUGGACGAAGACUGACGCUCAGGUGCGAAAGCGUGAGGAGCAAACAGGAUUAGAUACCCUGGUAGUCCACGCUGUAAAACGAUGUCGAUUUUGGAGGUUGUGCCCUUGAGGCGUGGCUUCCGGAGCUAACGCGUUAAAUCGACCGCCUGGGGAGUACGGCCGCAAGGUUAAAACUCAAAUGAAUUGAC
rnacentral:rRNA from 1 species